rnacentral:rRNA from 1 species
CAAGACAACCAGGAAGUUGGCUUAGAAGCAGCCACCUUUUAAAGAAAGCGUAACAGCUCACUGGUCAAGCGUUCCUGCGCGGAAAAUGUAACGGGGCUUAAGUGUUGCACCGAAGCUGCGGGCUCGAAAGAGCGGUAGCGGAGCGUUCUGUAAGUCUGUGAAGGAAGAUCGCGAGGUCUUCUGGAGAUAUCAGAAGUGAGAAUGCUGACAUGAGUAGCGAUAAAGAGGGUGAGAGACCCUCUCGCCGAAAGACCAAGGGUUCCUGCGUAAAGCUAAUCUGCGCAGGGUUAGCCGGCCCCUAAGGCGAGGCAGAAAUGCGUAGUCGAUGGGAACCAGGUCAAUAUUCCUGGGCCGGGAGGUGGUGACGAAUUCCGUAUAUGGUUAGUCCUUAUUGGAUUGGACUAGCUGAGAAGGAGUUCCAGGAAAUAGCCCCUCCAUAACGACCGUACCCUAAACCGACACAGGUGGACAGGUAGAGUA